GACGAACGCUGGCGGCGUGCUUAACACAUGCAAGUCGAACGGAAAGGCCCUGCUUUUGUGGGGUGCUCGAGUGGCGAACGGGUGAGUAACACGUGAGUAACCUGCCCUUGACUUUGGGAUAACUUCAGGAAACUGGGGCUAAUACCGGAUAGGAGCUCCUGCUGCAUGGUGGGGGUUGGAAAGUUUCGGCGGUUGGGGAUGGACUCGCGGCUUAUCAGCAUGUUGGUGGGGUAGUGGCUUACCAAGGCUUUGACGGGUAGCCGGCCUGAGAGGGUGACCGGCCACAUUGGGACUGAGAUACGGCCCAGACUCCUACGGGAGGCAGCAGUGGAGAAUAUUGCACAAUGGGCGGAAGCCUGAUGCAGCAACGCCGCGUGCGGGAUGACGGCCUUCGGGUUGUAAACCGCUUUCGCCUGUGACGAAGCGUGAGUGACGGUAAUGGGUAAAGAAGCACCGGCUAACUACGUG
rnacentral:rRNA from 1 species